rnacentral:rRNA from 1 species
GUAAACUAUGCCAUCUAGCGAUCCAAUGGGGUAUUGUAGCCUUGUUGGGGAGCUUCCCGGAAACGAAAGUCUUUCGGUUCCUGGGGUAGUAUGGUUGCAAAGCUGAAACUUAAAGAAAUUGACGGAAGGGCACCACCAGGAGUGGAGCCUGCGGUUUAAUUUGACUCAACACGGGAAAACUCACCCGGCCCGGACACCGUUAGGAUUGACAGAUUGAAAGCUCUUUCUCGAUUUGGUGGUUGGUGGUGCAUGGCCGUUCUUAGU